AUCCAGCUGACGAGUCCCAAAUGGGACGAAAAGCACGCCAAACUGGAU
rfam:Schistosoma haematobium scaffold530_10, whole genome shotgun sequence.